AUCAAGAGCAUCAGUUCAUAUUUCUAUUUAAGUAGGUUAAAAAAAACCAUUACAUUUUCAUUGCAAAAAUAUACAAUUUUCUUAA
rnacentral:tRNA from 1 species